rnacentral:misc_RNA from 1 species
GAUGAAGAACGCAGCGAAAUGCGAUACGUAAUGUGAAUUGCAGAAUUCAGUGAAUCAUCGAGUCUUUGAACGCACAUUGCGCCCUUUGGCAUUCCGAAGGGCAUGCCUGUUCGAGCGUCAUUUAUCAACCCUCAAGCCCGGCUUGCGGUUGGGUCCCGCCGUGGGCGACCACGGCGGACCCGAAAGGUAAUGGCGGUGCCCGUGGGGCCCUGGACGCAGCGAGCUUCUCGGCACGCGUCCCGGCGGUCCCCGGCGCCGUCUCCACCAAUCCACCACGCAGAUUGACCUCGGAUCAGGUAGGGAUACCCGCUGAACUUAAGCAUAUCAAUAAGCGGAGGA